rnacentral:rRNA from 1 species
AACGAACGCUGGCGGAAGGCUUAACACAUACAAGUCGAGCGCCCCGCAAGGGGAGCGGCAGACGGGUGAAUAACGCGUGGGAACCUCCCCAUCCCUCAGGAAUAGCCCCGGCAAAGCGGAAUUAAUACCGUAUACGCCCUACGGGGGCAAGUUUUAUCGGGGAUGGAUGAGCCCGCGUUCGAUUAGCUCGUUGGUUGGGUAAAGGGCUACCAAGGCGACGAUCCAUAGCUGGUCUGAGAGGAUGAUCAGCCACAUUGGGACUGAGACACGGCCCAAACUCCUACGGGAGGCAGCAGUGGGGAAUAUUGGACAAUGGGGGCAACCCUGAUCCAGCCAUGCCGCGUGAGUGAUGAAGGCCUUAGGGUUGUAAAGCUCUUUCACCGGGGAAGAUAAUGACGGUACCCGGAGAAGAAGCCCCGGCUAACUUCGUGCCAGCCGCCGCCGUAAUAC